AGGAAACUGAAGAAGGUCAAUCUAGAAUGAUACUUGCUGGAUGGAUUGAAAAAGUGAAGCUUUAGCAGCAAGUAGAAAAACUGAAGCAUCAGUUGCAGUAACUCAUCCAUUGAGUGAAAAGGUUCUUCCCAUGUCCCUACUCUCAGAAAUGCAUUCUGAAAUUUCGAAGAAACAAGACAUUACACAAGUACAUGGCUUCACUACCAAGGGGAAGGGCAAAAGACCAUCUUUGAUUUAAUUCCAGGCUUCAGUGUCUAAUUCUGUGGCAAAGAUAGCUCAUGAAUUCUUUGUUCCUCUGCCAAGCGCAACAGGGAUAAGUAGCCUUGCUCUGGGAAUAUGAGUUUGAUGAUUGGGUUGCAUGAACCCUGGAAGCCUGGAAUAUUCAUCUAUUUUCACAUUCUUCUGUCCCUCCUGACUGCAGCACUCCCCAAACCUACAUGGAAGAGCUAAAAUCAAUUCUGGUAAAUCUCAUCAACUUCUAGGACACUGUGGUAGAUUUCCUUCAGUUUAAUCUCUAGCAUUAACUGGAAGAAACAUUUUCUUACUCAGUCACUACAUUUGUCAAGAAAUAAUGCUAUGGUUGAACACUGCACGAAAUGAUAGAGAUUAACAGUAGCACAAUACUAGACAUUUCUUUUUUGCUAUUCUACUUAAUGCCUGAUGUAACCUCAUGAGGUGGAUGUUGUACUCCUGACUUUAGAGAUAAGAAAACUGAACUUUUGGGAGGCUAAAUAACUUACUUACAGUUACAUAGUCAAGAAAUGGAGAUGGCAAGAGUUCAGGCCUAGGUUUGUCUGAUUGCAAAUACUACAUCCUUUCUAUUGCUUCACUUUGUUUGGCUUUAAAGCUGUUAAAUGAGAAUGACCAUAAUACCCCAGAGAACUUCUGUGAGGAUUAAAUGGAUAUGCAAAAGCUCUCGACAUAAUACCUGGCUCAAGUAUCAAGAGGAGUGUAGCACACACAUGUUACAGCUGAAAAUGAUGCGCUGUGAUGUCAAGCACUUUCCCAAGGAGAUGCAGCUAAUAGUUGCCAGAGCCAUAAUGAUAUUAGGUGUUGUUCCCUUUGUCUGGGACGCCCUCUCCGUAUGUAUUAGUCUGGAAAACUCCACUUAUCCCAUCAGCCUCAGCUCUCACCUCUUCCGAGACCUUCCCUGACAUCACUAGGCAAAUAUAAAUGAGCCCUCUGACCAUCCCCUUUGUGCAAGACUCAGGUUAAAAAAAUGACCCCAUGAGAGAGUGUUAAUAUUUCUUUCCUCAAUUAGAAUCUUGAAGUCCAGAACUGUGCAUUUCCAUCCUUAUAUCAGAAUGUCUAGCACACAAGAAGCACUGGGAAAUAUGUGUGGAAUAAAUAACUGAGCAUGUUGAUAAAGGAGCAUAUAUUUUUAAUAUCCAUAGAAGUGCAAAUCUUUGCUGGGUAGCGUUGUAGGAAUGUUUUUCCACAUGUCAUGACGACAUUUGUUUUGCAUUUUAGUCCAUUACCAUAAUAAUAACUCUCCAUUUGCAGCUUAUGAAUUUGAAAAUAAAUUGCCUUCCCUAGGAAAUAGGAGAAAAUACUAUUAAAUGGCCAUAAUUGUUAUUACUUUGUCACCUGUAUAUUAUGAAAUCUGAAUAGAAAAAUUCAACUAAAAGAACUGAAAUGCUUAGUUCAUUAUUGAGUAUGCUUUCUUGGUGGGAUAAUAUUUUUACAGAAAAUAUUUUUCUAUUCCAUUAAACUGUAUUUAACAAGAACAUGAAUAUACUGAGGUAGGCUUAAAAAUAUAGCAGAGCAAGUCAAAUGCCAAAAAUUAUCCCAGCUCUGGAACUAAAACUACACAAAGAAGGGAGUAAUGACAUUGGGAACAAGGGCUGGAUGUGGCUUUGAUUGCUCUCUGAUACACAUCAGUGCAUAAAAACAGUCCAGUAUGUUUAGAAUGUCUUCCUUUCCUCCAAAAACUUGGCUAAUUCCCCUUCCACCUAUUCCUCAAGGCACACGUAUUCUGUGAAGCUUUCCUCAUAUUCUCUCGGACAGUACUUCUAUUAUUUUGCAUCUAUCUCAUUUUGCUACAAUAACUUAUAGGUCUAUACUUUGUAUUAACUGAUGAGC
rnacentral:lncRNA from 1 species